rnacentral:ncRNA from 2 species
CUUACAAUGGAUUCCGUUGGUGCUCGCGGUGUGGUUCACAUGCCGCAGUUCAACGGGAAGCAGGAGGGGAAGUCCACGCCGACCGACCUAACCUGCGCUGCCCCCGCAACGGUAAGCAGACGGGAUCCGGGCUUUCGCCCGGUCCCUGCCUUCACCCCACAGCCACUGGACAACCGGUUUCGACCGGCGCUCCGGGAAGGCGGUGGAGGUCGUUCUGCCAGCCCGGAUACCGGCCAACACGGUGGUGACGUG